UACGGGGGGGGCAAGCGUUGUUCGGAAUUACUGGGCGUAAAGGGCUCGUAGGCGGCCAACUAAGUCGGAUGUGAAAUCCCCAGGCUCAACCUGGGGAACUGCAUCCGAUACUGGAUGGCUUGAAUUCGGGAGAGGGAUGCAGAAUUCCAGGUGUAGCGGUGAAAUGCGUAGAUAUCUGGAGGAAUACCGGUGGCGAAGGCGGCAUCCUGGACCGACAUUGACGCUGAUGAGCGAAAGCUAGGGGAGCAAACGGGG
rnacentral:rRNA from 1 species